rnacentral:rRNA from 1 species
ACAAUGGCAGGUACAGAGGGGUGCUACCGGGUGACCGGAUGCCGAUCUCGAAAACCUGUCCCAGUUCGGACUGGAGUCUGCAACCCGACUCCACGAAGUUGGAUUCGCUAGUAAUCGCGCAUCAGCCAUGGCGCGGUGAAUACGUUCCCGGGCCUUGUACACACCGCCCGUCAAGCCAUGGGAGCCGGGGGCGCCUGAAGUCCGGGACCGCGAGGACCGGCCUAGGGCGAAACUGGUGACUGGGGCUAAGUCGUAACAAGGUAAC